rnacentral:rRNA from 1 species
AGUGAACGCUGGCGGUAGGCCUAACACAUGCAAGUCGAACGGCAGCACAGUAAGAGCUUGCUCUUACGGGUGGCGAGUGGCGGACGGGUGCGGAAUACAUCGGAAUCUACUUUUUCGUGGGGGAUAACGUAGGGCAACUUACGCUAAUACCGCAUACGACCUACGUGUGUAUGCAGGGGAUCUUCGGACCUUGCGCGAUUGUAUGAUCCGAUGUCGGAUUAGCUAGUUGGCGGGGUAAAGGCCCACCAAGGCGACGAUCCGUAGCCGGUCUGAGAGGAUGGUCGGCCAAACUGGAACGGGGACACGGUCCAGACUCCUAGGGGAGGCAGCAGUGGGGAAUAUUGGAAAAUGGGGGCAAGCCUGAUGCGGCCAGCCCGGGGGGGGGAAGAAGGCCUUGGGGUUGUAAAGUCCUUUUGUUGGGAAAAAAAAGGAGGAGGGUAAAACCCCCCUGUUCUGACGGUACCCAAAGAAAAAGCAACGGCUAACUUCGUG